AGAGCUGCAUGAGAUCUUGGAGUAACCACUUCUCAUUACCAUGCUUGAACGUCAGGUGAAGUGAAGGCAGGAGACAGGUCUUAAAAACCUCUGUGUCACUGGAGGUCUGUUGAGGGA
rnacentral:lncRNA from 7 species